ACACAUGCCUGGCAACGCAAACCGGAUCCAUUGCAGCCUGACCCGCAUCCCCCCGCGCCCACCAGGCCACCAUCUCGUUUGACUGAAAUAUAACUUCACCCACUUGGCCCACGAGUCCACACCCAGCGGCCAAUAACUGCCCGCGCAGGAGAUUAGGGAUUCAUAAUCACCGCUCCACCGCGGCAGCCGCCGCACUCGAGGAUCAACCGAGACCCUCCUGGCCUCCUGUCUUCGACGGCAUCUUCGUCCCGUCCCUCGGCAUUGAAGAUUUGGCAAGCGGUGGUGGAAGGAUCUAAUAGAGACUUGCAUGGCUGCAUCUCUCCUCAAGCACGAGCAUCCCUGAGGUUGUAGCAACAAUUUCUAUGUCGUUUUCGUCAAUAACCAGACGCUAUUCCCCUUAUCUACAAGUUUCAGGUGUUUUUGGCAGAUGAGAUUGGCAGCUCUAAGAAGAUGCGUCAUGUAUUUUGAAAUCCAGAGAAAGAUAAUAAGCAAAUCAAUUUUUAAAGAUGAUUUUGUCAACACAUCACGCCAUGAUUCAAAGGAUAAAGCUGCAGCGUGCAAAUGGGUACUCAAAGAAGUGCGUCAGAUCUUGAAAAGUUAAACAGUAGUUGACAGCAGUAUGCCAGUAUAUCGGCCAUUUCAUUUUUAUUGUAUUGGGAAAACGUGUCAUCAUGGUUCCAGCUGGCUGUAGUGUAUGAACAAUUGCGUCGUAUUGAUGUAUGCACAAUAUAAUGUAUUAAAUUUUGAAUGAAAUUGGUUCAUAGCUUU